UACGGGGGGGGUAAGCGUUGUUCGGAAUUACUGGGCGUAAAGGGCUCGUAGGCGGCCAACUAAGUCAUACGUGAAAUCCCUCGGCUUAACCGGGGAACUGCGUCUGAUACUGGAUGGCUUGAGUUUGGGAGAGGGAUGCGGAAUUCCAGGUGUAGCGGUGAAAUGCGUAGAUAUCUGGAGGAACACCGGUGGCGAAGGCGGCAUCCUGGACCAACACUGACGCUGAGGAGCGAAAGCCAGGGGAGCAAACGGGG
rnacentral:rRNA from 1 species